rnacentral:RNase_P_RNA from 1 species
CGAGCCGGGCGGACGGCCGCGUGGAGUCCCCGUGAGGGGGCUUCCCGAGGAACGUCCGGGCUCCACAGGGCAGGGUGGUGGCUAACGGCCACCCGGGGUGACCCGCGGGACAGUGCCACAGAAAGCAGACCGCCCGGCGCUCCGGCGCCGGGUAAGGGUGAAACGGUGGUGUAAGAGACCACCAGCGCCUGAGGUGACUCAGGCGGCUAGGUAAACCCCACCCGGAGCAAGGUCAAAAGGAAGCACCCCGGUGCUUCUGCGCGGACGUUCGAGGGCUGCCCGCCCGAGUCCGCGGGUGGACCGCACGAGGCCGGUGGCAACACCGGUCCUAGAUGGAUGGCCGUCGCCCCGGCUCCCGCGAGGGAACCGGGGAACAGAACCCGGCGUACAGCCCGGCUCGUCCU